UGGAUGGUUGUGGUUGGCAGGCUCCGUGCUCGUGCAUCGAACUGUUGACGCUCCAUCUGCUUCAAUCUUUCCCCAAGUGAAGCUCCUUCCUUGUGGGUUCGCGUCGUAUCCUGUGUUGCUUACCAAUGAAAUGGAAUUUGAUGGUCUUGUUAUGCGGAUUCGCCUUGUGCUCUUUGGGGUGCGAGGUGGACAUGCGGUGAGCACUGUGCUCCCAACAUGCCAGGUGCAUUGGUGUUUGGUUGUUGUGGCGUAUGGUGUCUUUGCUUGUUCUCUCGGAUGCGGAAAGCUAAGUGUGGGCAUGAGGUCUCGACCUUGAAUCGUCCAAGCACUGUCUCUUGACUCGAAUGACUGCUGCGCCUGUCUUGAUCUUUUCCGACCAAGGCCUCGUAACGGGGCUUACUGGACGAGGGCUGGAUCAUGCAGGUGUUGGCGUCAGAGAGGNAAAGCUAC
rnacentral:misc_RNA from 1 species